rnacentral:rRNA from 1 species
GAUGAACGCUGGCGGCGUGCCUAAUACAUGCAAGUCGAGCGAACGGACGAGAAGCUUGCUUUUCUGAUGUUAGCGGCGGACGCGUGAGUAACACGUGGAUAACCUACCUAUAAGACUGGGAUAACUUCGGGAAACCGGAGCUAAUACCGGAUAAUAUUUUGAACCGCAUGGUUCAAAAGUGAAAGACGGUCUUGCUGUCACUUAUAGAUGGAUCCGCGCUGCAUUAGCUAGUUGGUAAGGUAACGGCUUACCAAGGCAACGAUGCAUAGCCGACCUGAGAGGGUGAUCGGCCACACUGGAACUGGGACACGGUCCAGACUCCUACGGGAGGCAGCAGUAGGGAAUCUUCCGCAAUGGGCGAAAGCCUGACGGAGCAACGCCGCGUGAGUGAUGAAGGUCUUCGGAUCGUAAAACUCUGUUAUUAGGGAAGAACAUAUGUGUAAGUAACUGUGCACAUCUUGACGGUACCUAAUCAGAAAGCCACGGCUAACUACGUA